rnacentral:lncRNA from 1 species
AAAUUUAUAACGAAAUAUAAAAUGCAACAUCUCUUUUUUUGGAUUUUUGAGUUACAACAUAUUUUCCAAAUAUAAAGCAGAAAAUACAAUAACAAAAGGCUUGACAUUACUGUACAAAACUAGAAAGUAAAAGACGAAAUAAAAUGAAGAACAGACUCAAAACUUAAAAGUAAAACAAAUCUCCUCAAGCAACUCCUGACUGAGCGAUCAUGACCGGAUGGUCACAGGCUGUCUGUCAUGCUCAAACUUCGGUAAAUAAAUUCACACCUGUAUGAGAAAACUUUAAAUCAACACUAUGUGAGACAAUAACACUCCCUACUGGACACAUGGAAGACAUGGUUGAGGCUAUUUUUGCAAACUGGCUUAUUUGGCCACAAGGUGGCUAGAAGUGCAAAAUUUGGCUAUGACCCCGCAAAGCCAAGAACCUAAGAUUUACUAGGAAGACCGUACCCUAUGUGGGUUGCCUACAUAUCACGCCCCGAAAGACGAGAAUCAGGUAUGCGUAGUUCGGGCAGAUUGGAUACGGGCGAGAAUUAAAAAAAGCCAACAAAUUUAGAGAAAACAUAUUUUUUAUCUUUUUUUAAAAAAAACAAUGAUGAGACAUGUAUCUUCUUUUGGAUUAUUACGGAAAAUGAUGAAAAAAAUGCAAAAUAUCUUUUUUUUAAAUUUUCAAGCUCUCUUUUUUUUAACAAGAAUGUGACAAAAAAUAUAAUCGGGCCCCACUCGCCUUAUCUUCACACUUCACCCUCUUUUUUUUUCCUUUAUUCUUUCUUUUUUCAUUUCUUCAUCUACCCUUAGCUAUCAUUGGUCCGCCAAAUAACCCUUUUUCCCUUGACUAAAUGCAACAUGUAGCACAUAAGAUGCAUCAUGAUGGUCUUUUUCAUUUUUGGUAUACCUGUCCUAGACAGACCCAACCCCUAUGUUGAGUCUCCAAAGUUAAAUGCACAUGAUGCAAGCAAAUGUUCCUACUAAGGAUCCGACAUGAGGUCUUGUUGUACUAGGUUUAAAACCUGGGUUUAUUGUUCUAGACCUGGCUUACCCGAGCGGACAACUCGAGCUGGGAGGGGGGCAGCGUACCGGGAAUACAAAAGCUUCACCGGUUUUGCAACUUGUCCGAACCUCGUUCUAAAUUUGGGAUAUGACUCUAACAGAAAAGAAGUCACACGAAGUGCACACUUCUUCAUGAUUUAGAAGACUCAGAGAGAAGAGGGAUUUCGCAACAGUUUAUAUACAGUCUAUGGAAUAUCAAAGCGGUAAAAGCAAUCAAUUAGCACAUUAGGCCCAAAUCAUGUAACAAAAUUAGAUAAUGGAUAAAUCCAACUAUAACAAUUAUUCUAAGCUCGAAUUCUUGAACCCUGAACCAAAGAUUAUGGGUUCUUUCCCCAGCAGAGUCACCAGAGCUGUCACACCUCCUUUUUACUACACCCCCGGAAGGGAGUGUAUAAGGGAGUUUUUCCAAUUAAAGGACAAUCGAAACGGGAUUAUUUAUUUAUUAAAUUCAGAAUCGCCACUUGGGAUAAUUUUAUGGUGUCCCAAGUCACCGGUUCAAAUCUCGAAUCGAGGAAAUGAUUGACUCUGUUUUACAGUCCGCGAACAUAGAAAUCCGGGUAAGGAAUUCUUUUAACCCGGGAGAAGGUGUUAGGCAUUCCCGAGUUUCGUGUUUCUAGCACGGUCGCUCAACUGUUAUUUUUGGCUCAAUUAUUUGAUUUUAAAAACACUUUUAGACCUAUGUGCAUUUUAGCUUUAAACCGCUUUUAAUUAUUUUAAGGAAGAUUUCAACGUCAUCUAAAAUAUGUCUUUGGACCACACCACAUGAAAUGCACCCGCAAUUUGAGACACAUUUUAUUUAACGUUGCUAAGAUUUGGAUUUGGGUCACAUGAAAUGCACACCCGAGUUUAGGAAAUUAAUUUAAAUUGCGCGCCCAAAGCAACUACGAAAAGGGUGUUUUCUAUACUAAACCUUUCUGAGUGUAGCCUGAAAAUUCUUCUGCUCAUAUUCAUGAUGCAUGAAAAGUUAACGUCCUAAGGCGUUAUUUCUAUCAAAAACCAACAGAACACAUAUUCACUCUUGUUCAAAUUUUAUACGGCUAGAAUAUAUAAUCACAAAAAUGAAUCCCAAAUCAUGACCUCUGCAUAUAAAGAAAAAAACAUGAAUCACAAAUAGACCAGUAUAUAUGCUUCUAACAGGAACAAAGGCUCAUUAGAUAUCUUAAUACAACAGAAUGGGAAGAAAGGUUUUAGAGUCACUGAUAACUUGUUUCCAACUACCAAUAAUUUAAACAAAAGCGUAGGAUUUCGUAUAUCAGACUAGAAAUAACAUAUAGAAUUUAUAUAGUUAGUUAACAUUAGAACUUAGCUGAAUUCCUAAGACAUAGCAUCUAAUUUAAUAGAUGUGAUGAUGGCUACUGCCUCAAUCAGUUUCAAAUCUCAUGGAACAGACAACCAUAUCCUAUACUUUGUAACAAUUCUUAUAAGUUAUAACACUAACGUCUCAACCAUUUUAAAGGAUAUAAUCACAAUGCAGUUGUGAAUACAUAUGGACAUGCUAUCAAUUGAUGCUUUAGUUUAAAAUGGAGAAGUUCUAAAGAUGAUUCCUAAUACAGUGACAGUUACUAAAAAUACUUAGCUCAUGAUUCCGAACAAACAACGAACACAGAAUGAUGGCUCAAAUUAAUUACAUCAGAGAUUAAUAAGAUGCGCUUCAAAUAUGUAAAAAGAAAUGAGCAAAGUAACAACAACCUUUCCAAUAUAUGCAGAUUAUAAACAUGCUUAGACCUACAGAAUCGAAAAGAGGAGAAAAAUCACUGACCUUUUGCGGGCAUCGUAUCGAGGCGUUAGCAUUGGAUCUACCGAACUCCGGCCUCGAACUCGCUAAUUCGGAUGAUUGUUAAACGAUGCAAUAGUCAACAAAAUGCAGCACCUGUAGUUAACAAAAGCCAAGAAUAAAACAGUUCCACAGUGCUCGAGAACUUCAAGAUUCAUCUGGACAUCAGGAAAAAUCCUUCCUUAAUCUUUCAAUAUAUAUAAAGAUUUCCGAUUGGUUUACAAUAAAAUAUGAAACCUCAACUGUGUAGGAGCUCAACGAUUAUGGACCAACAACAAUCAACCAUGAACAACCACAGUUCCAAGCUUCAACAAUUUUCGAGAAAUCCACAGAAGAGGAUUUGAAUUCCUGAUCUUUGGUUACCUUAAUGGAAGAGGAUUUGAAUUCGUUACCUUAGGGGAAGGGAGGUAUGGUCACUGUUGCAGAGAGGAGAGGAGAGGAGAGGAGUGUCGUUGCUCCUUGGAAAGGAAGGGGUCCAAUGGUCUGGUGAUUUUCAGAAGAUCAGAGAAUGAGCGUUGUUU